AGUGUGGUGGCCGAGCGGUUAAGGCGUUGGACUCAAGUACCAAUGGACAUUAGUGCUCGUGGGUUCAAAUCCCACCCGCACUA
rnacentral:tRNA from 1 species